rnacentral:rRNA from 1 species
CCCUUAGAUGUUCUGGGCCGCACGCGCGCUACACUGAUGCAUUCAACGAGUCUAAAACCUGGUCUGAUGGGGCUGGGUAAUCUUUUGAAAGUGCAUCGUGAUUGGGAUAGAUGAUUGCAAUUCUUCAUCUUCAACGAGGAAUGCCUAGUAAACGCAAGUCAUCAGCUUGCAUUGAUUACGUCCCUGCCCUUUGUACACACCGCCCGUCGCUCCUACCGAUUGAAUGAUCCGAUGAAUACCAUGGAUUGAGAGUACGAAUGGGUUCGCUCAUUUCUGCUGCUCGAGAAGUGGAGUAAAUCUUAUCAUUUAGAGGAAGGAGAAGUCGUAACA